rnacentral:miRNA from 1 species
GUAUAUAUAUAUAUACAACAGUCUGUUUCAUCGGUAAAGAAUCAUCAGGCGGCGAUGAUUCUUUACUGAUGAAACAGACUGUUGCGGAAUUU